GAUAAACGCUGGCGGCGUGCAUGAGACAUGCAAGUCGAACGGACGAUCAGGGCUUGCUCUGAUCGUUAGUGGCGGACGGCUGAGUAACGCGUAGGUGACCUGCCUCGAAGUGGGGGAGUAACUGCCCGAAACGGGUAGGGCUAAUACCGCAUGUGGUGGUUCGUUCAGUCGAACCAUCAAAGACAGUAAUGCGCUUCGAGAGGGGCCGUGCGUCCGAUUAGCUCGNGGUUGGGGUAACGGCUCACCAAGGCGACGAUCGGUAGGUGGUCUGAGAGGACGAUCACCCAGACUGGGAC
rnacentral:rRNA from 1 species